rnacentral:rRNA from 1 species
GGGGAUAACUACUGGAAACGGUGGCUAAUACCGCAUAACGUCGCAAGACCAAAGAGGGGGACCUUCGGGCCUCUUGCCAUCAGAUGUGCCCAGAUGGGAUUAGCUUGUUGGUGAGGUAACGGCUCACCAAGGCGACGAUCCCUAGCUGGUCUGAGAGGAUGACCAGCCACACUGGAACUGAGACACGGUCCAGACUCCUACGGGAGGCAGCAGUGGGGAAUAUUGCACAAUGGGCGCAAGCCUGAUGCAGCCAUGCCGCGUGUAUGAAGAAGGCCUUCGGGUUGUAAAGUACUUUCAGCGGGGAGGAAGGUGUUGUGGUUAAUAACCGCAGCAAUUGACGUUACCCGCAGAAGAAGCACCGGCUAACUCCGUGCCAGCAGCCGCGGUAAUACGGAGGGUGCAAGCGUUAAUCGGAAUUACUGGGCGUAAAGCGCACGCAGGCGGUCUGUCAAGUCGGAUGUGAAAUCCCCGGGCUCAACCUGGGAACUGCAUUCGAAACUGGCAGGCUUGAGUCUUGUAGAGGGGGGUAGAAUUCCAGGUGUAGCGGUGAAAUGCGUAGAGAUCUGGAGGAAUACCGGUGGCGAAGGCGGCCCCCUGGACAAAGACUGACGCUCAGGUGCGAAAGCGUGGGGAGCAAACAGGAUUAGAUACCCUGGUAGUCCACGCCGUAAACGAUGUCUACUUGGAGGUUGUGCCCUUGAGGCGUGGCUUCCGGAGCUAACGCGUUAAGUAGACCGCCUGGGGAGUACGGCCGCAAGGUUAAAACUCAAAUGAAUUGACGGGGGCCCGCACAAGCGGUGGAGCAUGUGGUUUAAUUCGAUGCAACGCGAAGAACCUUACCUGGUCUUGACAUCCACGGAACUUUCCAGAGAUGGAUUGGUGCCUUCGGGAACCGUGAGACAGGUGCUGCAUGGCUGUCGUCAGCUCGUGUUGUGAAAUGUUGGGUUAAGUCCCGCAACGAGCGCAACCCUUAUCCUUUGUUGCCAGCGGUCCGGCCGGGAACUCAAAGGAGACUGCCAGUGAUAAACUGGAGGAAGGUGGGGAUGACGUCAAGUCAUCAUGGCCCUUACGACCAGGGCUACACACGUGCUACAAUGGCGCAUACAAAGAGAAGCGACCUCGCGAGAGCAAGCGGACCUCAUAAAGUGCGUCGUAGUCCGGAUUGGAGUCUGCAACUCGACUCCAUGAAGUCGGAAUCGCUAGUAAUCGUGGAUCAGAAUGCCACGGUGAAUACGUUCCCGGGCCUUGUACACACCGCCCGUCACACCAUGGGAGUGGGUUGCAAAAGAAGUAGGUAGCUUAACCUUCGGGAGGGCGCUUACCACUUUGUGAUUCAUGACUGGGGUGAAGUCGUAACAAGGUAACCGUAGGGGAACCUGC